CGCCGUAAACGAUGAGUGCUAGCUGUAGGGAGCUAUAAGUUCUCUGUAGCGCAGCUAACGCAUUAAGCACUCCGCCUGGGGAGUACGACCGCAAGGUUGAAAACUCAAAGGAAUUGACGGGGGCCCGCACAAGCGGUGGAGGAAGCAACGCGAAGCCUUACCAGGUCUUGACAUACUCGUGCUAUCCUUAGAGAUAAGGAGUUCCUUCGGGACACGGGAUACAGGUGGUGCAUGGUCGUCGUCAGCUCGUGUCGUGAGAUGUUGGGUUAAGUCCCGCAACGAGCGCAACCCUUAUUACUAGUUGCCAUCAUUAAGUUGGGCACUCUAGUGAGACUGCCGGUGAUAAACCGGAGGAAGGUGGGGAUGACGUCAAAUCAUCAUGCCCCUUAUGACCUGGGCUACACACGUGCUACAAUGGAUGGUACAACGAGUCGCCAACCCGCGAGGGUGCGCUAAUCUCUUAAAACCAUUCUCAGUUCGGAUUGCAGGCUGCAACUCGCCCGCAUGAAGUCGGAAUCGCUAGUAAUCGCGGAUCAGCACGCCGCGGUGAAUACGUUCCCGGGCCUUGUACACACCGCCCGUCACACCACGGAAGUUGGGAGUACCCAAAGUAGGUUGCCUAACCGCAAGGAGGGCGCUUCCUAAGGUAAGACCGAUGACUGGGGGAAGUCGUAACAAGGUAGCCGUAA
rnacentral:rRNA from 1 species